rnacentral:misc_RNA from 1 species
UACAACUGCAUAUAGGGGAACAGACCACACUGGGACCGUAUUAUCUUUCAUGGGAUAUUUCAGAUCAGUCAUCAUAUCCUUUCCAACAUACCGGUGAAAUGGACCGAUGACAUAAAGGACUACCUCUAUUACUACAAGCAGUAGUAAUAUAAGCCAGUCAUGCAUGUGAAUUCUUGCAACUGAUGAUCCAUGAGACUUAAUAGUAUGUCCACAUCCAAGCUCAAUCUCAUUUGUAUUACCCUGAAACACAGUUCUAAUCUUGUCUUUCCAACCCAUUUAAGCACUGUUGAUACUUCAGUCCAAUCUCUUGG